CCUCCCUCCCAGACCCUCCUACUUCCUGGACAGCAUCCAUGUUGAAGGCAGCUUCAACAUGGAUGCUGUCCAGGGGGUGUGAGGGUCUGGGAGGGAGGGUCUGCCG